rnacentral:snoRNA from 1 species
UCAUCUGUAGGUAAAUUCUUACCUGAAAGAAAUGCCAAAGAGCAUUUCUUCAAGUAAAAAUGAUGCAAAAUGGGUUGUUAUAUGAGUUUUUCAUUGAUUAAGGAAACCCGUAUAUUAGAGGCCGCAACCCUCUAUUAUACAACUGCUGAU